CCUACGGGUGGCUGCAGUGAGGAAUAUUGGUCAAUGGACGAGAGUCUGAACCAGCCAAGUCGCGUGAAGGAUGACUGCCCUAUGGGUUGUAAACUUCUUUUAUAGGGGAAUAAAACGAGGCACGUGUGCCUUUUUGCAUGUACUUUAUGAAUAAGGAUCGGCUAACUCCGUGCCAGCCGCCGCGGUAAUACGGAGGAUCCGAGCGUUAUCCGGAUUUAUUGGGUUUAAAGGGAGCGGAGAUGGGUUGUUAAGUCAGUUGUGAAAGUUUGCGGCUCAACCGUAAAAUUGCAAUUGAUACUGGCAGGCUUGAGUGCAGUUGAGGUAGGCGGAAUUCGUGGUGUAGCGGUGAAAUGCUUAGAUAUCACGAAGAACCCCGAUUGCGAAGGCAGCUUACUAAACUAUGACUGACAUUGAUGCUCGAAAGUGUGGGGAUCAAACAGGAUUAGAUACCCGAGUAGUC
rnacentral:rRNA from 1 species